rnacentral:rRNA from 1 species
UACGUAGGGGGCAAGCGUUGUCCGGAUUUAUUGGGCGUAAAGAGCGUGUAGGCGGUUCGGUAGGUCCGUUGUGAAAACUCGAGGCUCAACCUCGAGACGCCGAUGGAAACCCCCGAACUAGAGUCCGGAAGAGGAGAGUGGAAUUCCUGGUGUAGCGGUGAAAUGCGCAGAUAUCGGGAGGAACAUCAGUUGCGAAGGCGGCUCUCUGGACCAGCACUGACACUGAGGCACGAAAGCGUGGGGAGCAAACAGG